rnacentral:rRNA from 1 species
CUAUACAUGCAGUCGAACGCGCAGCGAAAGGUGCUUGCACCUUUCAAGCGAGUGGCGAACGGGUGAGUAACACGUGGAUAACCUGCCUCAAGGCUGGGGAUAACAUUUGGAAACAGAUGCUAAUACCGAAUAAAACUUAGUAUCGCAUGAUACAAAGUUGAAAGGCGCUACGGCGUCACCUAGAGAUGGGUCCGCGGUGCAUUAGUUAGUUGGUGGGGUAAAGGCCUACCAAGACAAUGAUGCAUAGCCGAGUUGAGAGACUGAUCGGCCACAUUGGGACUGAGACACGGCCCAAACUCCUACGGGAGGCUGCAGUAGGGAAUCUUCCACAAUGGGCGAAAGCCUGAUGGAGCAACGCCGCGUGUGUGAAGAAGGCUUUAGGGUCGUAAAGCACUGUUGUAUGGGAAGAAAUGCUAAAAUAGGGAAUGAUUUUAGUUUGACGGUACCAUACCAGAAAGGGACGGCUAAAUAC